CAGCACCUCAAGUGGUCAGGAUGAUUAUUGGGCCUAAAGCAUCCGUAGCCGGCGCUGUAAGUUUUCGGUUAAAUCUGUACGCUCAACGUACAGGCUGCCGGGAAUACUGCAGCGCUAGGGAGUGGGAGAGGUAGACGGUACUCGGUAGGAAGGGGUAAAAUCCUUUGAUCUAUUGAUGACCACCUGUGGCGAAGGCGGUCUACCAGAACACGUCCGACGGUGAGGGAUGAAAGCUGGAGGAGCAAACCGGAUUUGAUACCCGAGUAGUCC
rnacentral:rRNA from 1 species